rnacentral:rRNA from 1 species
GAGGAAUAUUGGUCAAUGGGCGGAAGCCUGAACCAGCCAUGCCGCGUGCAGGAAGGAGGCCCUACGGGUUGUAAACUGCUUUUACCCGGGAAGAAACCGCCCCCUGUGGGGGGCGUUGCCGGUACCGGGGGAAAAAGGAUCGGCUAACUCCGUGCCAGCAGCCGCGGUAAUACGGAGGAUCCGGGCGUUAUCCGGAAUUACUGGGUUUAAAGGGUGCGUAGGCGGGGCUUUAAGCCGGCGGAGAAAUGCAGCGGCUCAACCGCUGGAAUGCCGUUGGGACUGGGGCUCUUGGAUACGGUCGGGGCGGGUGGAACUCGUGGUGUAGCGGUGAAAUGCAUAGAUAUCACGAGGAACGCCGGUAGCGAAGGCAGCUCGCCGGGCCGGUAUUGACGCUGAGGCACGAAAGCGUGGGGAUCGAACAG